AAUAGAAACAGCUCCAAUCUUCAGCUCCCAGCAAGAUCCACGGAGAAGGCACAACAAGAUCAAACGCUGACAUCAGGAUAGCAGCGAGAGAGAGGCAUUUAUUUGCACAGUGCCAAGCAAGGAUGAUACGACAGCUAAUGCUUAAAUUCUGACCUCUCCAGUGGCUUGCAGAUUCUUGCAGGUGGCUGGUUCCAGAUGGAGUCCAUGACCAGAAUGAGAACUUCAUGCCUGCUCUUUCCCAAUUGGUUAUUUCUGAAUAAUGCUUUUAAAUCAAUCAAAUGUUGCCUUUUUCAAGGCUACCUACAGCCCACACCUCCCCAGUUCUGAGCCUAUAAAAACCUCACACUCAGCCACAUGGGGAUACUACCUGCCUUUGGGUGGGGACAAUCCACCUUCAGGUUGGGGACUACCCACUUCUGGUCCAUCUCUGCUGAGAGCUAUUCUGUCACUCAAUAAAACUUCUCCACCUUUCUCACUCUCUGGUUGUCUGUGUAACCUCAUUCUCCUUGGAUGUGGGACAAGAACCCAGGA
rnacentral:lncRNA from 10 species